CAGUCGCCACGGGAAUACGUAGGUGGCAAGCGUUGUCCGGAAUUAUUGGGCGUAAAGGGCUCGCAGGCGGUUUCUUAAGUCUGAUGUGAAAGCCCCCGGCUCAACCGGGGAGGGUCAUUGGAAACUGGGAAACUUGAGUGCAGAAGAGGAGAGUGGAAUUCCACGUGUAGCGGCGAAAUGCGUAGAGAUGUGGAGGAACGCCAGUGGCGAAGGCGACUCUCUGGUCUGUAACUGACGCUGAGGAGCGAAAGCGUGGGGAGCGAACAGGAUUAGAUACCCCCGUAGUCCCUGUCUCUUAUAC
rnacentral:rRNA from 1 species